AUUGAACGCUGGCGGCAUGCCUUACACAUGCAAGUCGAACGGCAGCAUGAUCUAGCUUGCUAGAUUGAUGGCGAGUGGCGAACGGGUGAGUAAUACAUCGGAACGUGCCCUGUAGUGGGGGAUAACUAGUCGAAAGAUUAGCUAAUACCGCAUACGACCUGAGGGUGAAAGUGGGGGACCGCAAGGCCUCAUGCUAUAGGAGCGGCCGAUGUCUGAUUAGCUAGUUGGUUAGGUAAAGGCUCACCAAGGCGACGAUCAGUAGCUGGUCUGAGAGGACGAUCAGCCACACUGGGACUGAGACAAGGCCCAGACUCCUACGGGAGGCAGCAGUGGGGAAUUUUGGACAAUGGGGGCAACCCUGAUCCAGCAAUGCCGCGUGUGUGAAGAAGGCCUUCGGGUUGUAAAGCACUUUUGUCCGGAAAGAAAUCGCACUUACUAAUACUAGGUGUGGAUGACGGUACCGGAAGAAUAAGGACCGGCUAACUACGUGCCAGCAGCCGCCGUAAGAC
rnacentral:rRNA from 1 species